rfam:Eubacterium sp. CAG:38 genomic scaffold, scf151
UGAUAUCAGGGCUGCAAAGUAUUUCACCCACAUGAGCUUGCUCAUAGGUGGGUGAAAUACCUUGCAACCCACCCCAAUAUGAGCAUAAAAGUGGGAUGACAGUCCCACGAUAUGCGAAUAUUGGGUAGGAUUGUGAGAGUGCGCAGCACGGAACAAUCCGUAGAUAUCA